rnacentral:rRNA from 1 species
UACGUAGGGGGCAAGCGUUGUCCGGAAUUACUGGGCGUAAAGGGCGCGUAGGCGGCACUGUUAGUCAGGCGUGAAAGUCCUGGGCUCAACCUGGGAACUGCGCUUGAUACGGCAGAGCUAGAGGAUGGAAGAGGCUCGCGGAAUUCCCAGUGUAGAGGUGAAAUUCGUAGAUAUUGGGAAGAACACCGGUGGCGAAGGCGGCGAGCUGGUCCAUUACUGACGCUGAGGCGCGACAGCGUGGGGAGCAAACAGG